AUUGAACGCUGGCGGCAGGCUUAACACAUGCAAGUCGAGCGGGGAAAGGUAGCUUGCUACCUGACCUAGCGGCGGACGGGUGAGUAAUACUUAGGAAUCUGCCUAUUAGUGGGGGACAACAUUCCGAAAGGAAUGCUAAUACCGCAUACGCCCUACGGGGGAAAGCAGGGGAUCUUCGGACCUUGCUCUAAUAGAUGAGCCUAAGUCAGAUUAGCUAGUUGGUGGGGUAAAGGCCUACCAAGGCGACGAUCUGUAGCGGGUCUGAGAGGAUGAUCCGCCACACUGGGACUGAGACACGGCCCAGACUCCUACGGGAGGCAGCAGUGGGGAAUAUUGGACAAUGGGCGAAAGCCUGAUCCAGCCAUGCCGCGUGUGUGAAGAAGGCCUUUUGGUUGUAAAGCACUUUAAGCGAGGAGGAGGCUACCGAGAUUAAUACUCUUGGAUAGUGGACGUUACUCGCAGAAUAAGCACCGGCUAACUCUGUGCCAGCAGCCGCAGUAACAC
rnacentral:rRNA from 1 species